rnacentral:rRNA from 1 species
AUGAACGCUAGCGGCAGGCUUAACACAUGCAAGCCGAGGGGUAACAGUCUUCUUCGGAGGAGCUGACGACCGGCGGACGGGUGAGUAACACGUAUGGAACCUACCCAUAACCGGAGGAUAGCCCGGGGAAACCCGGAUUAAUACUCCAUGAGGUUAUACGUUGAUAUGAUGUAUAAUAAAAGCUGCGGCGGUUAUGGAUGGCCAUGCGGGAUAUUAGGUAGUUGGUAGGAUAAGAGCUUACCAAGCCGACGAUGUCUCUGGGGUCUAGAAGGAUGGUCCCACACAUUGGUACUGAGACACGGACCAAACUCCUACGGGAGGCAGCAGUGAGGAAUCUUGGUCAAUGGGCGGGAGCCUGAACCAGCCAUGUCGCGUGCAGGACUACGGCCCUAUGGGUUGUAAACUGCUUUACUGUGGGAAGAACACUGGAUAUUUGGUAUUCAGUUGCCGGUACCACAGGAACAAGCACCGGCUAACUCCGUGCCAGCAGCCGCGGUAAUACGGAGGGUGCGAGCGUUAUCCGGAGUUAUUAGGUUUAAAGGGUGCGCAGGCGGUUAAUCAAGUCAGCGGUGAAAGUCAAUGGCUUAACCAUUGAAUUGCCGAUGAAACUGGUUAACUUGAGUUAAGUCGAGGCAGGCGGAAUGCGUAGUGUAGCGGUGAAAUGCAUAGAUAUUACGCAGACCCCCGAUUGCGAAGGCAGCCUGCUAGACUUUUAACUGACGCUGAUGCACGAAAGCCUGGGGAGCGAACAGGAUUAGAUACCCUGGUAGUCCAGGCAGUAAACGAUGAUCACUGGGUUAUUGGCGAUAUAGAGUCAGUGACUGAGCGAAAGCAUUAAGUGAUCCACCUGGGGAGUACGUUGGCAACGAUGAAACUCAAAGGAAUUGACGGGGGCCCGCACAAGCGGAGGAACAUGUGGUUUAAUUCGAUGAUACGCGAGGAACCUUACCUGGGCUUGAACUGUAGGUGAUGUAAUCAGAGAUGGUUACUUCCUUCGGGACACCUACGGAGGUGCUGCAUGGCUGUCGUCAGCUCGUGCCGUGAGGUGUCGGGUUAAGUCCCAUAACGAGCGCAACCCCUAUCACUAGUUGCCAUCGCGUUAAGGCGGGGACUCUAGUGAGACUGCCACCGUAAGGUGAGAGGAAGGUGGGGAUGACGUCAAGUCAGCACGGCCCUUAUGUCCAGGGCUACACACGUGUUACAAUGGCCGGAACAGCGAGUCGCGAGGCAGAGAUGCUGAGCGGAUCUGAAAAACCGGUCGUAGUUCGGAUCGGAAUCUGCAACUCGAUUUCGUGAAGGUGGAUUCGCUAGUAAUCGCGCAUCAGCCACGGCGCGGUGAAUACGUUCCCGGGCCUUGUACACACCGCCCGUCAAGCCAUGGGAGCCGGGGUUACCUGAAGUCCGUAACCGAGAGGAACGGCCGAGGGUAAGUCCGGUAACUGGGGCUA